GAUGAACGCUGGCGGCGUGCCUAAUACAUGCAAGUCGAGCGAACAGACGAGGAGCUUGCUCCUCUGACGUUAGCGGCGGACGGGUGUGUAACACGUGGAUAACCUACCUAUAAGACUGGGAUAACUUCGGGAAACCGGAGCUAAUACCGGAUAAUAUAUUGCACCGCAUGGUUCAAUAGUGAAAGACGGUUUUGCUGUCACUUAUAGAUGGAUCCGCGCCGCAUUAGCUAGUUGGUAAGGUAACGGCUUACCAAGGCAACGAUGCGUAGCCGACCUGAGAGGGUGAUCGGCCACACUGGAACUGAGACCAGGUCCAGACUCCUGAGGGAAGCAGCAGUAGGGAAUCUUACGCAAUGGGCGAAAGCCUGACGGAGCAACGCCGCGUGAGUGAUGAAGGUCUUCGGAUCGUAAAACUCUGUUAUUAGGGAAGAACAAAUGUGUAAGUAACUAUGAACGUCUUGACGGUACCUAAUCAGAAAGCCACGGCUAACUACGUG
rnacentral:rRNA from 1 species